UAGCCUAAUGUACCCCCAUAUAAGGUAUAGCUGCCCAGUGAUACAAAUAAACGGCCGCAGAAUCCUAACUGUGCAAAGGUAGUCUAAUAAUGUGCUCCUCAAUUGGGAGAUAAUACAAAAGUGAAAACACGAGUUAAACUUUCUCUUCCCCACACAAAAAAUUAAAUAAUGGAUCCAAAUGUCCACCUCCCCCAAAAAGACAAAAAGUCCCUAUUGAGCUUUUAAAAUAAAAAUAACCCCUAUAGACAUUUUUUUGUUGGGGCGACAUAUGCUCAGAAUCAACAUAAACCCCUAAAAUAUAUAAAUUAAUAAUUAAUCUCCUACCUCAAUAUUUAAACCAAGCUACCUUAGGGAUAACAGGCUAAUAAUCUCUGAUAGUCCACAUUGACGAAAUUGUUUGGCACCUCGAUGUUGGCUUAGGGAACCCUUCUUAAGCAGAAAAAAGGCAGGGAGGUUUGUUCAACCUUUAAACCCC
rnacentral:rRNA from 1 species